CUACGGGUGGCAGCAGCUAAGAAUCUUCCGCAAUGGACGAAAGUCUGACGGAGCGACGCCGCGUGAACGAUGAAGGCCGUGAGGUUGUAAAGUUCUUUUCCGAGGGGAGAAUAAGGAUGGCAGGGAAUGGCCGUCUGAUGACGUGAACUCGGGAAUAAGCCCCGGCUAACUACGUGCCAGCAGCCGCGGUAACACGUAGGGGGCGAGCGUUGUUCGGAAUCAUUGGGCGUAAAGGGUGCGCAGGCGGUGACGCAAGUCUGGUGUGAAAGAUCUCGGCGCAACCGAGGGAACGCGCUGGAAACUGGGUCACUAGAGUACAGGAGGGGGAGUUGGAAUUCCAGGUGUAGGGGUGAAAUCUGUAGAUAUCUGGAAGAACACCGGUGGCGAAGGCGAACUUCUGGCCAUGUACUGACGCUGAGGCACGAAGGCGUGGGGAGCAAACAGGAUUAGAUACCCCAGUAGUC
rnacentral:rRNA from 1 species